GCCGACGGCGAUGCAGCGAGCGGAACCAUCGGCGGCCUUCCUUUCCACCUCACGGAGGAGAUCCUCUGCCGCAUCAGCCCGCUCGAGUCGGUACGCUUGGCCGCCGUCUGCAGGUCCUGGGCGGCGACCGUCUCCGAGCGGCUCGCGAGACCCACCCCGCACCUGUUGGCGCUCGAGGUCCUACUCGGGCCCACAAGCAGUACCUGCUCGACCCAGCAGCGCCGCCACGGCGCCAUCUUCUCCUUGCCGAUCGACCAAGAGGAGUCGCCGGCGCCGGUGAUGCCCGCCCGCUUGCCCGCCGCGCUCACCCACGCGACGGACGAUAUAGAGUUGUCUGGCGCCUUGCCCUGCGGCGACUUCUCCUUUGCGGACGACAACCGCGUCGUCCUCGUCAACCCCGUUACCGGCACGCUCCAGAGCAUCGUGAUGUAUGGCCCCCGGCGAAGGUUUGAGGUGGAACCCCAGCUGAGGGCCGCUGCCGGCGCCAACGCGUUGUUCGUUACCGAGUGUCUUGGGAGCGUCUCUCUGCUGUGGUGCGAGGAGGAGCGGUGGUUCGAGGAGAAGCUCCUCCGGCCCGAAGUGUUCAGAGCUUGCGACGGCUUUGUGGCCUACGCCGGCGGCAUCUUCUACGCUAAGCAUUACAACGGCUUCACCUACAUUGUCGACCGGCGUGGGCCGCUGCCAUGGGGGCCGAAGAGGCUCCGUGCGCCAAGCAUUCUCGAGCAGUACUCCCCGAUCCCUGGGUACAGCUGCCUCCGCCUCCCCUACGCCCACCUGCUCGUGUCAGAAGGGGAGGUCAUGUUCGUCGGUCUGGUGCUCGCAGCACAAGAACCCGGACGCCCCAAAUCCAUCGGUGGCUUCGAGGUGUACACGCUGGAUCUCAAGGUGACACGGUGGGUGAAAGUGGAGAGGCUCGCCGAUGACCGGGCGCUGUUCGUGAGCGAGCAAUCAUCGUUCACGGUGCGCGCAUCAGAGACACCGGGGUGCAGGGCCAACUGCAUCUACUUUGUGACCGAGCUCGACAAGCAUUCCUACAGCAACAGCAUUUGGGGCGUGUAUUCCAUGGAGGAGCAGAAGGUGCUGUUUCAACGCCCCGUCGGUGGUUCGCCGGGGAAGUACAAAGCUGCGCGGUGGUUCUUCCCUGGGGUCGGU
rnacentral:rRNA from 1 species